GGAAAGCAUGGGGUGUCCGUGUAAGUAGAGUGCGUGUGGGGUGAGCAGAGGUGUGUCUGUGUGGCUGGGGUGGAGGUGUGGACUCAGGCGGUGUUUGUGGACAUGUGGAAGUGUGAGCACUGCUGGAACUGUGUGUGUGUGAUAUGGGUGUGACACGGGAGAGGGUUUAUGAGCCUGAGUGUGAGUGUGCAGGUGUGUGUGCGAGGGCAUGUGUGUGGGUGUGGUGUGUGUGAAUGCGGAGUGUGCGAGUAAACGUCCGUGUGUGAAUGUCAGAGUGU
rnacentral:lncRNA from 1 species